rnacentral:lncRNA from 1 species
AAACAGUGAACCAGAGAAGGAUGGCCAGGGACAACAAAGAUUGGAGCUCGGAAGUUGAAUGACAGAUAUUCUGGAGAAACACACCAGAGAUGACAAAAGAAGGACCCUUCUUUGAAUGAAACAAUAAGAUUCAUAUAAGCAACAGGUCUGAGCUGAGGUGUCAUCUCUGAACACCAGGCUGCUGCACUAACCAGAAGACCCCUCCCCCCCCUGCAGUGGCCUCGCUGCAUCGUAAGGACGGAGGAGCUGUUGUCUCCACAGCUGACAGUUCUAGAAACUGAGAAAAUCAAGAUAAAGAUGCCAGCAGACUCGAGGCCGGGU